rnacentral:hammerhead_ribozyme from 1 species
AUGCGGGUGACGAGUCUCAAAUAAGACGAAACGCGCGUCCUGGAU